UAAGAGAUCAAUGCAGAAUUCAUCUGGCAAUUUUCAGUCACAAACAGCUUAAGUCGCUCAAACUCAGAAAAAAGAGAAAAAAGAAAAAAGAAAAAUGAAAAGAGAGAAAUGAGAGAAGGGCAGGGGAAGGGAAGGGCAGGGAAGGGAAGUUUCAGGGAAGUUUCAGGGAAGUUCAGGGAAGGGAAGUUUCAGGGAAGUUUCAGGGAAGGGAAGGGAAGGGAAGGGAAGGGAAGGGAAGGUAAGGGAAGGGAAGGGAAGGGAAGGGAAGGGAAAAACCUUACCCUAAAAUAAUUUUGGAUAAGGGUGGGCAAGUAGAAAAGUGAAAUUCACUAGUUAAAGUCUCUACAUAAACGAGGUGGGAACAAUUUUUCUAAUUCAGUAAAUCAGCAUCAAGACUACAUUUCUUAGACUUUCUUUCUGUCCUUAUGCUUCUUCUUUCCAAGAGAUAAAUCUACAAAAAGCUACAGCAUGCCUCUAUUUUGCAUUUCUGUUUCCACAAAUACAAUGAGAACAAGAA
rnacentral:lncRNA from 12 species